rnacentral:rRNA from 1 species
GAACAAGUACCGUGAGGGAAAGGUGAAAAGAACCCCGGGAGGGGAGUGAAAUAGAUCCUGAAAUUUAGUGCCUACAAGGAGUCGGAGCCGGCUUGUCCGGUGACGGCGUGCUUUUUGUAGAACGAUCCAGCGAGUUAAUUUUUACAGCGAGGUUAAGUCAAUUGACGGAGCCACAGUGAAAGCGAGCCUGAAUAGGGCGAAUAAGUUGUAAGGAUUAGACCCGAAACCGGGUGACCUAACCAUGAGCAGGUUGAAGCCACUGUAACAGGUGGUGGAGGACCGAACCAGGAUACGCAGCAAAGUGUUUGGAUGACUUGUGGUUAGCGGUGAAAUGCCAAUCGAACUCGGAGAUAGCUGGUUCUCCUCGAAAUAGCUUUAGGGCUAGCGUCGUGUUAGUAGCACAUGGGGGUAGAGCUCUGUAAAGGACUGGGGCGGGCAACUGUACCCACCCUUAACAAACUACGAAUACCAUGUGUGUAAUCACGGCAGUUAGAACAUCGGUGCUAAGAUCGGUGCUCAAAAGGGAAACAGCCCAGACCAUCAUCUAAGGUCCCUAAAUUAACGUUCAGUGGGAAACAAGGUGAGAUUUCUUAAACAGCUAGGAUGUUGGCUUAGAAGCAGCCAUUCAUUUAAAGAGUGCGUAACAGCUCACUAGUCAAGAGAUCUUGCGUGGAAAAUGUAACGGGGCUAAAACGUUAUACCGAAGAUAUGGAUGUCAGAUUUAUCUGGCGUGGUAGAGGAGCGUUCCUAUCAGCGGUGAAGUCGAAUCGGAAGGUUCGGUGGAGCGGUAGGAAGUGAGAAUGCUGGAAUGAGUAACCAUAAGAGAGGUGAGAAUCCUCUCGGCCGUAAGAGCAAGGUUUCCUGAGCCAUGGUAAUCAUCUCAGGGUUAGUCGGGCCUAAGCCGAGGCGCAGAGCGUAGGCGAUGGACAUCAGGUUAAUAUUCCUGAACCGGUUAAGUUUUGUACACUGUUCACGGGGAAGUAAUCGAAGCGGAUUCAUGGUUUAUCCGUCCAACCGAGCGGGAACGCAAAGGGAGUGAAAGUGAUUCUUCGGAGUCGCGAUUUUGGUGAAAGCCCUGGCUAGAAAAGCAGGUGUACGCGUGGACUUAGCCGCCCGUACCGCAAACCAACACAGGUGCUCGAGUCGAGUAGACUCAGGCUUACGAGCGAACCUUCGCUAAGGAACUCGGCAAUACAGCGACCGUAACUUCGGGAUAAGGUCUGCCCCCACUUCGGUGGAUAUCAGCCGCGUUCACUCAGUGAAUAUUAGGUUAAAGAGUACAUUUUUAAUCACAAAACGAAUUUUCUGAGAUAGAGCAAACGAAUUGUUCUUUUGAACGCGAACCUCUGACGUCUAACGAUGUGGGGGCCGCAGCAAAAGAGCCCACGGAACUGUUUAUCAAAAACACAGGUCUCUGCUAACACGAAAGUGGAUGUAUAGGGGCUGACUCCUGCCCAAUGCUGGAAGGUUAAGGGGAGCGCUUCACGGUGCGAACUGAAGCCCUAGUCAAUGGCGGCGGUAACUAUAACCGUCCUAAGGUAGCGAAAUUCCUUGUCAGGUAAGUUCUGACCCGCACGAAUGGAGUAAUCAUGUGGGCACUGUCUCAGCGAAGGACUCGGUGAAAGUGCAUUGGCGGUAAAGAUGCCGUCUGUCCGUACCAGGACGAAAAGACCCCAUGGAGCUUUACUACAGCUUUACAUUGAAUAUGGUUUCAACAUGUGUAGCAUAGGUGGGAGACUUUGAAGCAGAUACGCCAGUAUUUGUGGAGUCACCAAGUGAAAUACCACCCUUGUUGUGAUUGUGUUCUCACGCUGACCGUUAUCCGGUUAGCGGACCGUGUAUGGUGGGUAGUUUAACUGGGGCGGUUGCCUCCUAAAGAGUAGCGGAGGCGUUCAAAGGUUGGCUAACUUCGGAUGGAAAUCGAAGUGAUAGUGUAUGCGCAUAAGCCAGCUUGACUGUGAGGAGUACAUUCCAAUCAGAGACGAAAGUCGGAGCAAGUGAUCCGCUGUACGUACAUUUGUACAUGAAUGUGGGAUCGACAGCGCAAACGGAUAAAAGUUACCCUGGGGAUAACAGGCUUAUAGCGCCCAAUAGUUCACAUAGACGGCGCUGUUUGGCACCUCGAUGUCGGCUCAUCACAUCCUGGAGGGGGAGCACCUUCCAAGGGUUCGGCUGUUCGCCGAUUAAAGUGGUACGCGAGCUGGGUUCAGAACGUCGUGAGACAGUUCGGUUUAUAUCCGGUAUGGACGAUAGGAAACUUGAGAGGAUCUACCCCUAGUACGAGAGGACCGGGGCGGACGCACCUCUGGUGUAUCGAUUGUGGCCACCUGCUGCAUUGUCGAGUAGCUAUGUGCGGACUAGAUAAGCGCUGAAAGCAUAUUAAGCGCGAAACUAACCUCAAGAUAAGGUUUCCCUAUGAGGACACAGAAAGACUAUCUGUUUGAUAGGCGCAAGGUGGAAGUACAGUAAUGUAUGGAGCUAAAGCGUACUAAUAGUCCCAUUGCCUUUUUAU